CUGCGAGUUGUGGUGUCUGGCAAGGUUAAGCAAACGCGAAGCCGUAGCGAAAGCGAGUCUGAAUAGGGCGCUUAGUCAGAUGCUGCAGACCCGAAACGAAGUGAUCUAUCCAUGAGCAAGUUGAAGCUAGUGUAAGAACUAGUGGAGGACUGAACCCAUAGGCGUUGAAAAGCCCCGGGAUGACUUGUGGAUAGGGGUGAAAGGCCAAUCAAACUUCGUGAUAGCUGGUUCUCUCCGAAAUAUAUUUAGGUAUAGCGUUGUGUCGUAAUAUAAGGGGGUAGAGCACUGAAUGGGCUAGGGCAUACACCAAUGUACCAAACCCUAUCAAACUCCGAAUACCUUAUAUGUAAUCACAGCAGUCAGGCGGCGAGUGAUAAAAUCCGUCGUCAAGAGGGAAACAACCCAGACUACCAGCUAAGGUCCCUAAAUCUUACUUAAGUGGAAAACGAUGUGAAGUUACUUAAACAACCAGGAGGUUGGCUUAGAAGCAGCCAUCCUUUAAAGAAAGCGUAAUAGCUCACUGGUCUAGUGAUUUUGCGCGGAAAAUAUAACGGGGCUAAAGUAAGUACCGAAGCUGUAGACUUGCGCACAACUUAGAUUAUUUAAGUUUAGAAUAUGAGAAACUAAGUUAUGUUUAGUUAUAUUUUUACUGAUUUUUAUAGAGUAAAGAUAGAAAUAAAACUUAGUAAAAUCAGUAAAAAUAUUCUUAGGCUAAAGUUAAGUAGUUUAAGUUGUGUGCAAGUGGUAGGAGAGCGUUCUAUUUGCGUCGAAGGUAUACCGGUAAGGAGUGCUGGAGCGAAUAGAAGUGAGCAUGCAGGCAUGAGUAGCGAUAAUUAAUGUGAGAAUCAUUAACGCCGUAAACCCAAGGUUUCCUACGCGAUGCUCGUCAUCGUAGGGUUAGUCGGGUCCUAAGUCGAGUCCGAAAGGGGUAGACGAUGGCAAAUUGGUUAAUAUUCCAAUACCAACAUUAGUGUGCGAUGGAAGGACGCUUAGGGCUAAGGGGGCUAGCGGAUGGAAGUGCUAGUCUAAGGUCGUAGGAGGUUAUACAGGCAAAUCCGUAUAACAAUACUCCGAGAACUGAAAGGCUUUUUGAAGUCUUCGGAUGGAUAGAAGAACCCCUGAUGCCGUCGAGCCAAGAAAAGUUUCUAAGUUUAGCUAAUGUUGCCCGUACCGUAAACCGACACAGGUGGGUGGGAUGAGUAUUCUAAGGCGCGUGGAAGAACUCUCUUUAAGGAACUCUGCAAAAUAGCACCGUAUCUUCGGUAUAAGGUGUGGUUAGCUUUGUAUUAGGAUUUACUCCGAAAGCAAGGAAACUUACAACAAAGAGUCCCUCCCGACUGUUUACCAAAAACACAGCACUCUGCUAACUCGUAAGAGGAUGUAUAGGGUGUGACGCCUGCCCGGUGCUCGAAGGUUAAUUGAUGGGGUUAGCAUUAGCGAAGCUCUUGAUCGAAGCCCGAGUAAACGGCGGCCGUAACUAUAACGGUCCUAAGGUAGCGAAAUUCCUUGUCGGUUAAAUACCGACCUGCAUGAAUGGCGUAACGAGAUGGGAGCUGUCUCAAAGAGGGAUCCAGUGAAAUUGUAGUGGAGGUGAAAAUUCCUCCUACCCGCGGCAAGACGGAAAGACCCCGUGGACCUUUACUACAGCUUGACACUGCUACUUGGAUAAGAAUGUGCAGGAUAGGUGGGAGGCUUUGAGUAUAUGACGCCAGUUGUAUAUGAGCCAUUGUUGAGAUACCACUCUUUCUUAUUUGGGUAGCUAACCAGCUUGAGUUAUCCUCAAGUGGGACAAUGUCUGGUGGGUAGUUUGACUGGGGCGGUCGCCUCCCAAAUAAUAACGGAGGCUUACAAAGGUUGGCUCAGAACGGUUGGAAAUCGUUCGUAGAGUAUAAAGGUAUAAGCCAGCUUAACUGCAAGACAUACAAGUCAAGCAGAGACGAAAGUCGGUCUUAGUGAUCCGGUGGUUCUGUGUGGAAGGGCCAUCGCUCAAAGGAUAAAAGGUACCCCGGGGAUAACAGGCUGAUCUCCCCCAAGAGCUCACAUCGACGGGGAGGUUUGGCACCUCGAUGUCGGCUCAUCGCAUCCUGGGGCUGGAGCAGGUCCCAAGGGUAUGGCUGUUCGCCAUUUAAAGCGGUACGCGAGCUGGGUUCAGAACGUCGUGAGACAGUUCGGUCCCUAUCUGCCGUGGGCGUAAGAAGAUUGAAGAGAUUUGACCCUAGUACGAGAGGACCGGGUUGAACAAACCACUGGUGUAGCUGUUGUUCUGCCAAGAGCAUCGCAGCGUAGCUAAGUUUGGAAAGGAUAAACGCUGAAAGCAUCUAAGCGUGAAGCCAACUCUAAGAUGAAUCUUCUCUAAGCUCUCUAGAAGACUACUAGUUUGAUAGGCUGGGUGUGUAAUGGAUGAAAGUCCUUUAGCUGACCAGUACUAAUAGAGCGUUUGGCUUAUCUUUAAUAAAGCAU
rnacentral:rRNA from 1 species